rnacentral:rRNA from 1 species
AUGGACAACCAGUUGAUAUUCUGGUACCGACGCAUAACCGUCAAUACCAAAACACACGAUACUAACCUCGGUGUUCUUCCGUGAUGCCUUCGGGUGUCUGGUUGAAGGAUUCUGUGGGACCUGAGUGUGGAGUCGGUAAGCGCGAGGUGUGACGCAGGAAGGUAGCCAGGCCACGCGAUGGUAGUCGUGGUCUAAGGUCGUAGCACGUGGGGGUAGGUAAAUCCGUCCCCACAUUGAGUGUGAGAGCUGAUGGGCGCCCC